rnacentral:rRNA from 1 species
GGUUCAGAACGAACGCUGGCGGCGCGUCUUAAGCAUGCAAGUCGGACGGCAAGGGUUGUGCUUGCACAACUCCUAGAGUGGCGGACUGGUGAGUAACGCGUGGGUGACCUGCCCUCGAGAUGGGGAUAGCCAUUAGAAAUAGUGGAUAAUACCGAAUACGCUCAUGACCCUGUGGGAUAUGAGGAAAACAGGCUACGGCCUGGCUCGAGGAUGGGCCCGCGUCCCAUUAGCUAGUUGGUGAGGUAACGGCCCACCAAGGCGACGAUGGGUAUCCGGCCUGAGAGGGUGUACGGACACAUUGGGACUGAGAUACGGCCCAAACUCCUACGGGAGGCAGCAGCUAAGAAUAUUCCGCAAUGGACGAAAGUCUGACGGAGCGACGCCGCGUGGAUGAAGAAAGGCCGGAAGGUUGUAAAAUCCUUUUGCUGAUGAAGAAUAAGUGUGGUAGGGAAUGACCGCAUGAUGACAUUAGUCGGUGAAUAAGCCCCGGCUAACUACGUGCCAGCAGCAGC